AUUGAACGCUGGCGGCAUGCCUUACACAUGCAAGUCGAACGGUAACGCGGGGCAACCUGGCGACGAGUGGCGAACGGGUGAGUAAUGUAUCGGAACGUGCCCAGUUGUGGGGGAUAACUGCUCGAAAGAGCAGCUAAUACCGCAUACCACCUGAGGGUGAAAGCGGGGGAUCGCAAGACCUCGCGCAAUUGGAGCGGCCGAUAUCAGAUUAGGUAGUUGGUGGGGUAAAGGCCUACCAAGCCUACGAUCUGUAGCUGGUCUGAGAGGACGACCAGCCACACUGGGACUGAGACACGGCCCAGACUCCUACGGGAGGCAGCAGUGGGGAAUUUUGGACAAUGGGGGCAACCCUGAUCCAGCCAUGCCGCGUGCGGGAAGGAGGCCUUCGGGUUGUAAACCGCUUUUGUCAGGGAAGAAAUCCUUUGAACUAAUACUUCGGAGGGAUGACGGUACCUGAAGAAUAAGCACCGGCUAACUACGUGCCAGCCGCCGCGGUAA
rnacentral:rRNA from 1 species